rnacentral:rRNA from 1 species
AGAGUUUGAUCCUGGCUCAGAACGAACGCUGGGCGGCGUGCCUAAUACAUGCAAGUCGAACGAGAAUAUGGGGCAACCCAUUAGUAAAGUGGCAGACGGGUGAGUAAUACGUAGGUAACUUACCCUUGAGAUGGGAAUAACCUUCCGAAAGGAGGGCUAAUACCGAAUGAGACCACGGCUUCCUCGGAAGCUGAGGUUAAAGGCGACCUCUAUUUAUAAGUUGUCGCUCAAGGAUAGGCUUACGCACCAUCAGCUAGUUGGUAGCGUAACGGCCUACCAAGGCUUUGACGGUUAGCUGAUCUGAGAGGUUGAUCAGCCACACUGGAACUGAGACACGGUCCAGACUCCUACGGGAGGCAGCAGUAGGGAAUAUUGCGCAAUGGACGAAAGUCUGACGCAGCGACGCCGCGUGGGUGAUGAAGGCCUUCGGGUCGUAAAGCCCUGUCGAAAGGGAAGAAACACGAUUUGGCUAAUAUCCAAGUCGCUUGACGGUACCUUUAAAGGAAGCACCGGCUAACUACGUGCCAGCAGCCGCGGUAAUGCGUAGGGUGCUAGCGUUGUUCGGAAUCAUUGGGCGUAAAGCGCGUGUAGGUGGUCAGUAAAGUUGGAUGUGAAAUCCCUGGGCUCAACCGAGGAAGUGCAUUCAAAACUCACUGGCUUGAGAAUGGUAGAGGAAGGUGGAAUUCCUAGUGUAGAGGUGAAAUUCGUAGAUAUUAGGAGGAAUACCGGAGGCGAAGGCGGCCUUCUGGACCAUUUCUGACACUGAGACGCGAAAGCGUGGGUAGCAAACAGGAUUAGAUACCCUGGUAGUCCACGCCGUAAACGAUGGGUACUAGAUGUUGCGGGAAUUGACCCCUGCAGUGUCGCAGCUAACGCAUUAAGUACCCCGCCUGGGAAGUACGGUCGCAAGAUUAAAACUCAAAGGAAUUGACGGGGGCCCGCACAAGCGGUGGAGCAUGUGGUUUAAUUCGAUGCAACGCGAAGAACCUUACCUGGGUUUGACAUCCACUGACCUCCAUAGAGAUAUAGAUUUGUAGCAAUACACAGUGAGACAGGUGCUGCAUGGCUGUCGUCAGCUCGUACCGUGAGAUGUCGGGUUAAGUCCCUUAACGAGCGCAACCCUUGUCCUUAGUUGCCACCAUUUAGUUGGGCACUCUAAGGAGACUGCCGGUGUUAAACCGGAGGAAGGUGGGGAUGACGUCAAGUCCUCAUGGCCUUUAUAUCCAGGGCUACACACGUGCUACAAUGGCCGGUACAGAGGGUCGCUAACCCGCGAGGGGGAGCUAAUCUCAGAAAGCCGGUCUUAGUUCGGAUCGAAGUCUGCAAUUCGACUUCGUGAAGCUGGAAUCGCUAGUAAUCGCGGAUCAGAACGCCGCGGUGAAUACGUUCCCGGGCCUUGUACACACCGCCCGUCACACCACGAAAGUUGAUUGCACCAGAAGUCGCUGUCCUAACCGUAAGGAGGGAGGCGCCCAAGGUGCGGUCAAUGAUUGGGGUGAAGUCGUAACAAGGUA